rnacentral:lncRNA from 1 species
UUUCCGACAGCGGUGCUCUCGGGUGCGGCGGCUCUCCGGCGAGGUUCGUGUUUUGGUGAUUCGGCUCCGAUCAACCUGUAGAGAAAAGAAUGAUGAUCAUGGUGAUAUAAAAAUUGCAUCAAACGGGGGCCGGGAAGGGCCUCAUCGGAGGCAAAAACUGAGGAGGGUCGCGGCGGCGCGGCGGGGUUUCAGCCAUGUUUUUCUACCGUUCGGCUGGGAUUUUGGCUCUGAUUUGGCCACAGGGGAACUCAGCGUGGAAAAACAAGUCGGGGGUAUGAAAUUUACCUCGAUCGACGGUCAGAAAUCUCCCCGGUGCGGUGGCGGGUGGCAGCGGACGGCUCCUCCGGCGUCUGGUUCGUCUUCUCCGACGAGGGCAGGCGGCUAGGGUUUUUGUGGUCAAGUGUGGGGGUUCUAUUUAUACCCUUUUGCCUUUUG